CUACUAUCCGAUUUCGCACCUGUGGCCUGCGAACGGAUAUUCUCAUGACGGCAUGUAGUAAAACACUGACUACCGGAACACCGGAACACCACCGGAACACCGCCGGAACACCACCGGAACACCACCUAACCCUAACCCCAACCCUAACCCCCAACCCUAACCCUAAUUUUGCAGAAUUGUUUUUACGCUUCUGUUUAAUUUAUUUUUGAAUAUCAAAAAGUCGGUCCCCAAGUGGCCCACACCCCCCUAGAAAUUCCUUAGAUGUGCGCCCCUGCACAUCUUUAACAAAAAAAAGUAUAUUCC